UGACUUUCCACUGAAGAACACUGAAGAUCCUGGGUUUGGCCCUUGCAAAUACAGCAUCCAGAGGGUGUGGAUCUCAGGAGAUCAUCUAGGAAAACUGAUCUGGCCCAGAGCUGUAUUUGGAUGGAGGUCAGGUUGUGGUGCAUAUUUAACUCUGCCUCCAUUGCAUUGCUGCCAACACUGCGCUUGUGUACACUGCGGCUGUGUGGGCAGAAAUUGCUCUGUACUACUCCCGACUUCUAGAGGUCAUUUUAUACCACUCAGCGGCCAAAGCACUUAAGUGUUCCUUUUAUUCAGCCAUGGGCUUGCAGCAGAAAGAUAGAGGAAACUCAGAGAUACGUAGUGCUUUGCGUCUUUCUUGGGGAAAUGAAAAA